rfam:Cricetulus griseus cell line CHO-K1, whole genome shotgun sequence.
GAGAGAUGGCUCAGUGGUUAAGAGCACCUGCUGCUCUUCCAGAGGACCUGGGUUCGAUUCCCAGCACUCA